rnacentral:snRNA from 1 species
GUAUUCACUUUGGCAACACAUAUACUAAAGUUGGAAUGAUGCAGAGAGCAUAAGUAUGGCCCCUGUACAAGGAUGACACACAAACUUGUGAAGUGUUCCAGUUUUCA